rnacentral:rRNA from 1 species
GACGAACGCUGGCGGCGUGCUUAACACAUGCAAGUCGAACGGAAAGGCCCUGCUUUUGUGGGGUGCUCGAGUGGCGAACGGGUGAGUAACACGUGAGUAACCUGCCCUUGACUUUGGGAUAACUUCAGGAAACUGGGGCUAAUACCGGAUAGGAGCUCCUGCUGCAUGGUGGGGGUUGGAAAGUUUCGGCGGUUGGGGAUGGACUCGCGGCUUAUCAGCUUGUUGGUGGGGUAGUGGCUUACCAAGGCUUUGACGGGUAGCCGGCCUGAGAGGGUGACCGGCCACAUUGGGAAUGAGAUACGGCCCAGAGUGCUACGGGAGGCAGCAGUGGGGAAUAUUGCACAAUGGGCGGAAGCCUGAUGCAGCAACGCCGCGUGCGGGAUGACGGCCUUCGGGUUGUAAACCGCUUUCGCCUGUGACGAAGCGUGAGUGACGGUAAUGGGUAAAGAAGCACCGGCUAACUACGUG